GUGGGGAAUAUUGGACAAUGGGGGCAACCCUGAUCCAGCCAUGCCGCGUGAGUGAAGAAGGCCCUUGGGUUGUAAAGCUCUUUCAGCGGGGAAGAUAAUGACGGUACCCGCAGAAGAAGCCCCGGCUAACUCCGUGCCAGCAGCCGCGGUAAGACGGAGGGGGCUAGCGUUGUUCGGAAUUACUGGGCGUAAAGCGCGCGUAGGCGGCGAUUCAAGUUGGGCGUGAAAGCCCGGGGCUCAACCCCGGAACUGCGCUCAAAACUAGGUCGCUAGAGACCGGGAGAGGGUAGUGGAAUUCCCAGUGUAGAGGUGAAAUUCGUAGAUAUUGGGAAGAACACCGGUGGCGAAGGCGGCUACCUGGCCCGGUACUGACGCUGAGGUGCGAAAGCGUGGGGAGCAAACAGG
rnacentral:rRNA from 1 species